GGAACAGCGUAUACUCAGACCCAUAUUUCAGCAGGCACGAAUAAUACUCAUAACAUGAAGCCCUAAAUGUAGAAGUAUAACAGAAUCAGUUCAAACCUUGAUCUAUAGCAGGACUAGAAAUCAAAAUCACGAAAUAGUAGAAUUUGAUUCCUGGUUUCCACCUUUUGCUGCAGCAACUGAUUUUGUACGUGCCGGGGGCGAGAAAUGGGGUGAGGAUUAGCGUGGGAAGUAGAAGUAGCAGUAGCAGAACCCAAUCAAACGUGAAGCAGAUAAGUGAAGUCUGUCAGGGAGACUGUUGAAUUGCUUACCGUACCUGCGACUUUUUAGCUAUAUUUAAUUUAGAUUUUAAUCUAAAUUAAAGUCAAUUAUUCAUUUCAACAAUAUAUUUUAUUCGUCUCACAAUUUUUCAACCAAAUAUUUCAUUAAAUUCUAUCAAAAUUUAUUAAAAAUUUGAUUCAGAGCUAAUUUUACGUUAUUAUGAAAUAUUUUAUAAGUGUUAUAAAAAUAAUAUUUUAAUAUCAAUUCAUUGGAAGGAUUUAACGAGUCUCAAAUGAACUAAACAAAAUAAAGUUUAGGAUAAAAAUUUAAGAUAAUAAAAUUGUACUAUAAAAAAACUCAACUUCUAUGAUUCAAAUUUUUUGUGAUGAUGAAAUACUAUAAAUGAGCAAUAUCUUUAUACUAUAUUUGGUACAUAAGAAUUAAUUGUUAAUACAUGAAUUUAAAAACCCAUUAAAAUUCCUAAAUACAUGAAUAAAAAUAAAUUCAUCUAUAAUAACUCUAGAUUCAUCAAAUCAAGAUUCAUUGAAUCUUAAUUAAUGUGAAUGUUAAUAAAUCAAAAAUUAAUAAUAUUAAAUUUAUACAUGAGAAGAAUUUUGUAGUAUCUAUUAAAUAUUGAAAAACGAAAAGUAAUGUAUUAUUGAAAUAAUUGAAUUAUAAUAUGUUUAAAAUCGUCCAAAAAAUGAUUCUCACUUGAUGUGAUAUUUUCCUAUAGAUUACUACCUGAUGCUACCAAAAAUCGUACCUGCUGAUUUUCCGAGCUUGAUGACUGGUGAGGAGCACGAACGUGAUCUUCCGAUACCUGAAACAAAGGCAACGAGGUGUGUUCUCGUC
rnacentral:lncRNA from 1 species